rnacentral:rRNA from 1 species
CAAUAGCGUAUAUUAAAGUUGUUGCGGUUAAAAAGCUCGUAGUUGGAUUUCUGCCGAGGACGACCGGUCCGCCCUCUGGGUGAGCAUCUGGCUCGGCCUGGGCAUCUUCUUGGAGAACGUAUCUGCACUUGACUGUGUGGUGCGGUAUUCAGGACUUUUACUUUGAGGAAAUUAGAGUGUUCAAAGCAGGCGUUUGCUUGAAUAUAUUAGCAUGGAAUAAUGGAAUAGGACGCUGGUUCUAUUUUGUUGGUUUUGAGAACCAGAGUAAUGAUUAAUAGGGACAGUUGGGGGCAUUCAUAUUUCAUUGUCAGAGGUGAAAUUCUUGGAUUUAUGAAAGAUGAACUUCUGCGAAAGCAUUUGCCAAGGAUGUUUUCAUUAAUCAAGAACGAAAGUUAGGGGAUCGAAGAUGAUCAGAUACCAU